GAGAAACUUAUGAUGAUAGAAAUUCAUAGUAAACAUACUAACAAUACCUCAAUUCCUGAUGGAUUGUUUCAAGCAAAAUCAUCCUCAUCAAGUUACUUCGAUUGACAAAUCCCUCGCAACCUCUAUGAUAGACAAAUAUCUAACCCAGUAAUUAACGCUCCUAGAUCCAACAAAAGCAUAUAUUAAUCUUUUUAGAGCCAGUAGUCUGACACGAUUGACAAAUCCCUCGCAACCUCUAUGAUAGACAAAUAUCUAACCCAGUAAUUAACGCUCCUAGAUCCAACAAAUGCAUAUAUUAAUCUUUUUAGAGCCAGUAGUCUGACAUGAGUGCCAGGAAUUAAACUUGAAAAGAGGCCAGUGACUUGUUUAGAAAAAAAAUGAAGUACAUGCAUGGCCAACACAAGAUUAUUAGACUUUAAUCAUGAAUAAAGCUCUAUUUCCUGAAAAAUUGUGAUGACAUACAUACACUGGAGGAACGAAAAAGUAAACUUAACCAAUAUCAAAAUGUGUUGACACGUUUUGAUAACACAUGUUUUGUCUUAGUUGCCAAAACAUCUUUGCAAAGACCUAAUGUGAGGGACAGACAUGGAUCAAACACAUGAAGCAUGGUAUCACCCAUUAUCAUCGCAUUGACAAUUUCAAAGGACACACCAUGUGUAAAAACAAUAAAGCAAAUUUAAGACGAGAUCGCUCCGACAGUAAUAAAGAACGUGACAUCUUGCAAACAUGUUGAUUCCCAUAUAUGCACCUGAUUAGAUAUAUACAUAAACAUAAACAUUAAACAUGUCAUUAAUAAUUAUUCAAACAAAAACAUCUCUGGAUACUAUCCAUGGAAAUGCCAAAUCCUAUGUGCAAGAGAUCUACAAUUGACACUGGAAGUAAAUCUUUUGAACAUGUUGCACACCAUUGCAACAAUCUACUGUACAGCCAGCAAAAAUUUCCAAUACGAUGAAUGUAUACACCAACAAGAUUCAAAGGAAACUUCUAUUUAUACAUGAAGUGUUUUCUAAACAUGCUAAAAAUACAACCAUACUUUGGCAUAUUAUUUCAACUAAAACUAUCAUCAUUAAUAACUUUGAUCGGCUUAUAAUUCCUCCCUACCACAAUAUGCUGGAUAAACUUCUUAACGACCAAUUAACACUCCCAGAUUCAAAUGCUGCCUAAAAUAAUCGUUUGUAUGGAGAAAUUCAACAUGAUAAGGAGCAGUGGUGAGUUAAAAAAAAAUUGAAAUCAAUGCAGAAAAUUUGUUAAGAAUCAAGCAAAAAUCAUAUAUAUGCAGAAAAACUAAAAGACUCUGUUAGUCUAAGGGUGACAACAAACAGUGUGACAGCAUCCAGAGGCAACACAAUUUGUAUACUUCUACAGAAUCAAGACUCUGUUGCCUAAGAGUGAAGACACAGAAAGUGAUUGCUUAAAUAUUUCUUCCAUUUCAAACAUCACAUGUUUUAGGCAAUAAUAACUAAAUCAACAUGGUUCAUGUCGACCAUUGCUAACAGAGUAUUACACUGAAACUAUUGAGUGGAGUAACAAAAGGGAUUCCUAUAAAUCUGAUUCAGCUCCUAAUGAAUAGAACAACCUUUGGAGCAAAUGGAUACUUUAGAUAGGAUAAUCCUGGUCUAAACCUAUUAAAUCCUUAAUAAGCUUGGAAAAAUAAAAACAAUUCUACAACAUUAAUUGAUGCUCCCAGGUUCAUGCCCAAGCUUUAUUUCAACAAAAUGCAAAAACAGAAGGGUUUUUGAUGCUCCCGGGCAAAAUGCUACCUUAAACAAUCACUUGAGCAAAUAGACUAAACUCCAACAUGGGUGCCAAAAUUAGGCUUGGAGAAAGGCAGCUGCUGGAAGUGGACGCAGACUGAACUCCAACAUAAGUGCCAUAACUCUAGAUCUAAUAACAAUAAUAAUAAAUAGGGAAGGUUCAGAUUCGCUACUUGUUCAUCACGGGGAGAAACGAUCUUGCAUUUCUCCGUUUUCUCAGCGGAGGAGAAGUGAUGUUGCAUCUUCUCCUCUCUUAUCAGCGGAGGAGAAGCGAUCUGGUUUUUUCUUCUCUCUUCCACCGAAUCCCAUCCAAAGAGUUAAACAUGGCUGCUGCGGUUCCCAUGCCGACCAUCCAAGCUGCCCCACCAUCGCCUUAUAACGACCAGAAAACGAAACAUCGAAGAGAAGAUACAAUUGAUUUAAGAUCUAUGUUGAGGGCCAUAUAUAAUCAUAAGAAUCAUGAGUUCACCAUCACCAAAGGCGACUGAUCCAAGAUCGCGCGCGCCAACAGUGUUCGUCAUCAUCGGCUUCUCACAUAUCAAAACCAAUAUAGAUUUACAGAGAUCCAUAAACCACAACCAACAGAGAUAGAGAUAAAGCGAUCAAGAAAAGAAGAAAAAACGUGGAGUAAAUUAGAGGAAAAAACCUUCGGCGUCGGAGAGAAAAGAAAUAGAGGAAGGGAAGAGGGAAACCUUUCCGUAGCGCCAUUUCCCGCUCUGUCCCCAAGACGAAGCAUGGCCUCAUGAACUACCUGGAAGACCUACAGAAUUUGAAUGCGCCACGCCUCGGCCCAAGGUGUUUCCAUGCGACGGCACCGACCUUGACCGGGCCGGUCUGCAAAAGAUGUUUCUCGA
rnacentral:lncRNA from 1 species